ncrna:unclassified sequences RT-6 RNA
UGCCUUAUAUAUUAGAUAUAAGGGAAAGGAAUUGUUGUCAAUACCUGAAAGAGCUCUUUCAGAUAUGACUGG